UACGAACUGUGCAAACGUUAUUCGGAUUCACUGGGCUUAAAGGGUGCGUAGGCGGCCAUGUAAGUAGGGUGUGAAAUCCCCCGGCUUAACCGGGGAACUGCGCCCUAAACUGUGUGGCUUGAGUGAGAUAGGGGUGUGUGGAACUUCCAGUGGAGCGGUGAAAUGUGUUGAUAUUGGAAGGAACGCCGGUGGCGAAAGCGACACACUGGACCUUGUCUGACGCUGAGGCACGAAAGCCAGGGGAGCAAACGGG
rnacentral:rRNA from 1 species